GACGAACGCUGGCGGCGUGCUUAACACAUGCAAGUCGAACGGAAAGGCCCUGCUUUUGUGGGGUGCUCGAGUGGCGAACGGGUGAGUAACACGUGAGUAACCUGCCCUUGACUUUGGGAUAACUUCAGGAAACUGGGGCUAAUACCGGAUAGGAGCUCCUGCUGCAUGGUGGGGGUUGGAAAGUUUCGGCGGUUGGGGAUGGACUCGCGGCUUAUCAGCUUGUUGGUGGGGUAGUGGCUUACCAAGGCUUUGACGGGUAGCCGGCCUGAGAGGGUGACCGGCAACAUUGGGACUGAGAUACGGCCCAGACGCCUACGGGAGGAAGAAGUGGGGAAGAUUGCACAAUGGGCGGAAGCCUGAUGCAGCAACGCCGCGUGCGGGAUGACGGCCGUCGGGUUGUAAACCGCUUUCGCCUGUGACGAAGCGUGAGUGACGGUAAUGGGUAAAGAAGCACCGGCUAACUACG
rnacentral:rRNA from 1 species